UGGGGGAUAUUGCACAAUGGGCGAAAGCCUGAUGCAGCGACGCCGCGUGGGGGAUGAAGGCCUUCGGGUUGUAAACUUCUUUUGCUCUGAACAAGGCAUGCCUUUGGGGUGUGUUGAGUGUAGGGGUUGAUUAGCGCCGGCUAACUACGUGCCAGCAGCCGCGGUAAUACGUAGGGCGCGAGCGUUGUCCGGAAUUAUUGGGCGUAAAGGGCUUGUAGGUGGCUGGUUGCGUCUGUCGUGAAAGCUCAUGGCUUAACUGUGGGUUUGCGGUGGGUACGGGCUGGCUUGAGUGGAGUAGGGGAGGCUGGAAUUCCUGGUGUAGCGGUGGAAUGCGCAGAUAUCAGGAGGAAUACCGGUGGCGAAGGCGGGUCUCUGGGCUGUUACUGACGCUGAGGAGCGAAAGCGUGGGGAGCGAACAGG
rnacentral:rRNA from 1 species